rnacentral:rRNA from 1 species
CCUACGGGCGGCAGCAGUGAGGAAUAUUGGUCAAUGGACGAGAGUCUGAACCAGCCAAGUAGCGUGAAGGAUGACUGCCCUAUGGGUUGUAAACUUCUUUUAUAUGGGAAUAAAAUGUUCCACGUGUGGGAUUUUGUAUGUACCAUAUGAAUAAGGAUCGGCUAAAUCAGUGCCAGCAGCCGCGGUAAUACGGAGGAUCCGAGCGUUAUGCGGAUUUAUUGGGUUUAAAGGGAGCGUAGGUGGAGUGUUAAGUCAGUUGUGAAAGUGUGCGGCUCAACCGUAAAAUUGCAGUUGAAACUGGCAGUCUUGAGUACAGUAGAGGUGGGCGGAAUUCGUGGUGUAGCGGUGAAAUGCUUAGAUAUCACGAAGAACUCCGAUUGCGAAGGCAGUUCACUGGACUGCAACUGACACUGAGGUUCGAAAGUGUGGGUAUCAAACAGGAUUAGAUACCCCGGUAGUC